rnacentral:rRNA from 1 species
UACGUAGGGCGCAAGCGUUGUCCGGAAUUAUUGGGCGUAAAGAGCUCGUAGGCGGUUUGUCGCGUCUGCCGUGAAAACCCGAGGCUUAACCUCGUGGCUUGCGGUGGAUACGGGCAGACUAGAGGUAGGUAGGGGAGAAUGGAAUUCCCGGUGUAGCGGUGAAAUGCGCAGAUAUCGGGAGGAACACCGGUGGCGAAGGCGGUUCUCUGGGCCUUACCUGACGCUGAGGCGCGAAAGCGUGGGGAGCGAACGGG